AGCCCCCAAAGGAUCCCAUCCCCAUCCCAGCACAGGCUGGUGAUGGGUUUGCAGGUCUCCUCUCCACCCCCUAGAAAUCCCCCCCUAGGCUCAGAGGGCAAUUGGGGAUCUUUCAUCACCUGCACCCCCAGCACCCAUCCAUCAGCCCCACCCAGCAGCUCCCAGCUGAUGAAUUUUGGGGCUCAGCCCCUGCUGCAUCGACAACAAACGCCUGCAGCUGGGGCAGGGCUGGGAGUAUAAAGCAGGACGGCUGGCAGGGAGGUUAUCUCCCAUUUUCUUUGUGGUUUUGGGGUUUGUUUGCUCUUCCCAGUUGAUGCAAUGAGGGGCCAGGCUGUCCCCUUGCUGCCUGGGGGGUGGUGGAGACCUGAUCCUGCCCUGGGAUUUACACCGGGUGCUUGGCUCAGCUCCCUGACCCUCCAGAGCUGGUGCCAGAGGUUAAUCCUGCUGGGGUGCAAAUUGGAGCAGCAGCACUCGUGUACAGCCCCCAACACCCGUGCCCUGACCCACACACCCAGGCCGUGGGCUCUCCGUAACCUCUGCACCCACCGUCCUCCGGGGAGGGUGGAAACUCCCUUCCACCCCCAGUUCCCAGAAAGAAGGUGGGAAGGAAGCCAUCCCCAAGCCUGGAAACGGAGGGGCUUUUUGUGAGGCGUUCCCAAUCGGGAGCAUCUCUGGAACACGAAGCAGCCCUGGCCGUGCCCUCUGGGUUUGCAGCCCUGCAUCCCAGGAGCUGGGCUGGAGCCAGAGGCACCGAGCCCGCCCCGAGGUUGCAGCCGGGGGGUUGCAGCCUCCCCGGCUGCUCAGAGGCCGAGCGCCCUUCAUCGAUUUUGCAGGAAGGCAGAGGUAUUUUUAGCCCUGCCCUGAUGCUGCUCUGUGCUGGUUAUGGGGUUUCUCCUCUUAUAGGGCUUCUCUGCCUCUUUCGCUCCCCCCAUGGCCGUGCUCUGCCCCUUCCCCCCCUCAAACCACAUCCCUGGAGCGCUCUGGGCUUGGCUGGCACAAAUUCCCCUACAAAGACUUGUCCCCAGCUCUUCAAAGGCUUUGCAGCAGUAAAUUUGAAGGGCAGGUUGCUUAUGCCUACCAUGGCGUUGUUUAAACACUAAGAGUUGGGCCACUUUGUAAGCAUUUCCCCAGCUCGCCAGCACAAAGCUGACCGACGUUUACGAAGUGUUUGACAUAGGCAACGUGCCUGGGGCUGGCCAGCAGAAAACUGUCCCCCCCCCCGCUGUAUCAGGAGCCCGUGUGAUUUGCUUCUCCCUCCCCCAGUUUUAUUUUGCAGCCUUUACAAGGUAAAAUUAGCGAUGGUACAGGUGGCUCGCUGGGUGACCGCGGUGUGGGUGAGUUUUGGAGGGCAGUGCUGGGGGGGAGCUGGGGGACAGAGCCCUGGAAGGGGACCUGCAAACAGCAGGUCCUGGAACAGGGUGGUUGUUGGAUCUGGGGUUGGGAUUUGCUGGGCAGAUGGCUGAAGGAUUGGGGGAAAUCAUGGAAGAAAUCCUGCCAUUUGGGUGCGUUUGUGCAGGAGUUGGGCACCGGGAGGCUGCAGCGAGCAGCACGAAGUGCAUCCACACAACUCGCCCAAGGGGAUGCGCACGGGGAGGACCCCAGUGCCUGCUGGUGGUCCCCAAAGCCCCCCCUGUGCCCAACACCCUUGGUGGGGGGGGAGCAGGUACUCACUGUCCAGGCAGGGCUCGCAGACGGUCUGGUUGACCCCGCAGGGCUGCACCACCCCCUCGCCCAGGUUGCAGGCUUUGCAGCACUCCCCGCUCGUCGUGUACAUCUUGGUGAAGCACUUGUCCUUGGAGCCCCAGGCGGGUCCCUGGGGGAGAAAACAGAGCUGGGAGGUGACUCUUGGCACCGGGAUUCCCCCUGCAAGGGUGGGCAGAGAAACGCGUGGCAUCCAGGCAGGGUUGUGCCAUGGGCCCUGCCAGCCCCCACGGGGGUUUUGGAGAGCUGGGGUCCCCGCUCCGCGCCAUGCUCUCGCUGAACAUCACGAUUGGAAAUCAGCCCCCACGAUGGAAAUGAAGACUUUAAAAGGAGCCCAGAGAGCUUCAGCCGCCUAAUGGGAGUGAGUGGAUUUGCUUAUAAAACCUGUCAUCACACAUGGAAGCAAUAAAAGUGCCAUGAGCGGUGCGGUUUGGAGCACAUGCACUUUGCAGCAGGGAGCAGCGCUGGCCGGGCUGUGGGUUGGCCUCGCCAUCCCUCUGCCAUCAGCCUGAGCCUGGUUUGGGGGGAAAAAAACUCAACGGGAGCCUGGAGGAGCUCCCCCCCCUCCCUGCGUCCCCAAGCAUCUGGAUGCCUUGCCAGCCACUUGGCCGCCUCUCUUCUUCGCACAAUGCGGCGUUAUGAACUCACGGGUGCAUCAUCCGGCAUCAUCCGGCCCGGCCUGAGACAAUGGAGCGCCAAUUAUAGGCAGCUGAAUGACAAAGUGCUCCAAUUACCCUGCGCUGCAAAGCAUGCGCUCUCCUGGCUGGCGCUGCUUCGCCAGCCUGACCUGGCACCGGGCCCCGGCUGCACGGGCGAGAGAGGGUUUGGCAUGGGGGGCACUUCCAGCACCCCCAAAUACUGGCUGGAGGGGUGAGAAAGGGGCUGGAUUUGCAGCAGGGACAGAGCCAGGCAGCAGGGAUGUGCCCCGCUGCUUGCAGGGACCCAGGCGGGGCGCAAGGCUGGAGCUCGCCCUGCUGCUCCCUCUGCAGCGAUCCCCCCCACGCUCGGGCAGGUUUCUGCUCCCCGCAGCGGCGGCUGGGAAGGAGGGAAGCAUCCCAACGUGCCUGGCUAUAAAUAGUGCUGGGAAGGCUGGGGCCAGCAGCUGGGGCCAGCAGCAGCCAGCUCUCCCACGCCGCCCGCGCCCGAGGCAGCUGCGAGCAGCCCCGCGGGGCCAGGACCCGGCUGCGUCGUUUCCUCCGUGCGAAGACCCCCGAGCCCCGACAGCUUCCCCCUGCUCUCCUCAGGCUGCUGAGGGACACCCUGUGCUUCCCCCUCCUGCUGCCAGGUCCUACCCUCGGCGCUUCUAAAUGGUGUGGAAAAUGCAACUUCCAGUCCCAGGUGCGGCACCCCCCCCACCUUCCCCGCCUGCAUUUCCCUUUCAGCUCCAUCUCGAGCACUGAA